rnacentral:rRNA from 1 species
UGAAGCGCGGUGAUACGUGGGUGGGCAAGCGGGGGGGUGUAAGGGUUAAGGCGAAUGACUGGGCGUAAAGGGGGCGCAGGCGGUUGAAGAAGUUAGGUGGGAAAGCCCCGGGCUCAACCUGGGAAUUGGAUUUAAAACAGGCCAGCUAGAGUCUUGUAGAGGGGGGUAGAAUUGCAGGUGGAGCGGUGAAAUGCGUAGAGAUCUGGAGGAAUACCGGUGGCGAAGGCGGCCCCCUGGACAAAGACUGACGCUCAGGUGCGAAAGCGUGGGGAGCAAACAGGAUUAGAUACCCUUGUAGUC